UUAAGCGACUAAGCGUACACGGUGGAUGCCCUGGCAGUCAGAGGCGAUGAAGGACGUGCUAAUCUGCGAUAAGCGUCGGUAAGGUGAUAUGAACCGUUAUAACCGGCGAUUUCCGAAUGGGGAAACCCAGUGUGAUUCGUCACACUAUCAUUAACUGAAUCCAUAGGUUAAUGAGGCGAACCGGGGGAACUGAAACAUCUAAGUACCCCGAGGAAAAGAAAUCAACCGAGAUUCCCCCAGUAGCGGCGAGCGAACGGGGAGGAGCCCAGAGCCUGAAUCAGUGUGUGUGUUAGUGGAAGCGUCUGGAAAGGCGCGCGAUACAGGGUGACAGCCCCGUACACAAAAAUGCACAUGCUGUGAGCUCGAUGAGUAGGGCGGGACACGUGGUAUCCUGUCUGAAUAUGGGGGGACCAUCCUCCAAGGCUAAAUACUCCUGACUGACCGAUAGUGAACCAGUACCGUGAGGGAAAGGCGAAAAGAACCCCGGCGAGGGGAGUGAAAAAGAACCUGAAACCGUGUACGUACAAGCAGUGGGAGCACAGAGCAAUCUGUGUGACUGCGUACCUUUUGUAUAAUGGGUCAGCGACUUAUAUUCUGUAGCAAGGUUAACCGAAUAGGGGAGCCGAAGGGAAACCGAGUCUUAACUGGGCGUUAAGUUGCAGGGUAUAGACCCGAAACCCGGUGAUCUAGCCAUGGGCAGGUUGAAGGUUGGGUAACACUAACUGGAGGACCGAACCGACUAAUGUUGAAAAAUUAGCGGAUGACUUGUGGCUGGGGGUGAAAGGCCAAUCAAACCGGGAGAUAGCUGGUUCUCCCCGAAAGCUAUUUAGGUAGCGCCUCGUGAAUUCAUCUCCGGGGGUAGAGCACUGUUUCGGCAAGGGGGUCAUCCCGACUUACCAACCCGAUGCAAACUGCGAAUACCGGAGAAUGUUAUCACGGGAGACACACGGCGGGUGCUAACGUCCGUCGUGAAGAGGGAAACAACCCAGACCGCCAGCUAAGGUCCCAAAGUCAUGGUUAAGUGGGAAACGAUGUGGGAAGGCCCAGACAGCCAGGAUGUUGGCUUAGAAGCAGCCAUCAUUUAAAGAAAGCGUAAUAGCUCACUGGUCGAGUCGGCCUGCGCGGAAGAUGUAACGGGGCUAAACCAUGCACCGAAGCUGCGGCAGCGACGCUUAUGCGUUGUUGGGUAGGGGAGCGUUCUGUAAGCCUGCGAAGGUGUGCUGUGAGGCAUGCUGGAGGUAUCAGAAGUGCGAAUGCUGACAUAAGUAACGAUAAAGCGGGUGAAAAGCCCGCUCGCCGGAAGACCAAGGGUUCCUGUCCAACGUUAAUCGGGGCAGGGUGAGUCGACCCCUAAGGCGAGGCCGAAAGGCGUAGUCGAUGGGAAACAGGUUAAUAUUCCUGUACUUGGUGUUACUGCGAAGGGGGGACGGAGAAGGCUAUGUUGGCCGGGCGACGGUUGUCCCGGUUUAAGCGUGUAGGCUGGUUUUCCAGGCAAAUCCGGAAAACUAAGGCUGAGGCGUGAUGACGAGGCACUACGGUGCUGAAGCAACAAAUGCCCUGCUUCCAGGAAAAGCCUCUAAGCAUCAGGUAACAUCAAAUCGUACCCCAAACCGACACAGGUGGUCAGGUAGAGAAUACCAAGGCGCUUGAGAGAACUCGGGUGAAGGAACUAGGCAAAAUGGUGCCGUAACUUCGGGAGAAGGCACGCUGAUAUGUAGGUGAAGUCCCUCGCGGAUGGAGCUGAAAUCAGUCGAAGAUACCAGCUGGCUGCAACUGUUUAUUAAAAACACAGCACUGUGCAAACACGAAAGUGGACGUAUACGGUGUGACGCCUGCCCGGUGCCGGAAGGUUAAUUGAUGGGGUCAGCGCAAGCGAAGCUCUUGAUCGAAGCCCCGGUAAACGGCGGCCGUAACUAUAACGGUCCUAAGGUAGCGAAAUUCCUUGUCGGGUAAGUUCCGACCUGCACGAAUGGCGUAAUGAUGGCCAGGCUGUCUCCACCCGAGACUCAGUGAAAUUGAACUCGCUGUGAAGAUGCAGUGUACCCGCGGCAAGACGGAAAGACCCCGUGAACCUUUACUAUAGCUUGACACUGAACAUUGAGCCUUGAUGUGUAGGAUAGGUGGGAGGCUUUGAAGUGUGGACGCCAGUCUGCAUGGAGCCGACCUUGAAAUACCACCCUUUAAUGUUUGAUGUUCUAACGUUGACCCGUAAUCCGGGUUGCGGACAGUGUCUGGUGGGUAGUUUGACUGGGGCGGUCUCCUCCUAAAGAGUAACGGAGGAGCACGAAGGUUGGCUAAUCCUGGUCGGACAUCAGGAGGUUAGUGCAAUGGCAUAAGCCAGCUUGACUGCGAGCGUGACGGCGCGAGCAGGUGCGAAAGCAGGUCAUAGUGAUCCGGUGGUUCUGAAUGGAAGGGCCAUCGCUCAACGGAUAAAAGGUACUCCGGGGAUAACAGGCUGAUACCGCCCAAGAGUUCAUAUCGACGGCGGUGUUUGGCACCUCGAUGUCGGCUCAUCACAUCCUGGGGCUGAAGUAGGUCCCAAGGGUAUGGCUGUUCGCCAUUUAAAGUGGUACGCGAGCUGGGUUUAGAACGUCGUGAGACAGUUCGGUCCCUAUCUGCCGUGGGCGCUGGAGAACUGAGGGGGGCUGCUCCUAGUACGAGAGGACCGGAGUGGACGCAUCACUGGUGUUCGGGUUGUCAUGCCAAUGGCACUGCCCGGUAGCUAAAUGCGGAAGAGAUAAGUGCUGAAAGCAUCUAAGCACGAAACUUGCCCCGAGAUGAGUUCUCCCUGACUCCUUGAGAGUCCUGAAGGAACGUUGAAGACGACGACGUUGAUAGGCCGGGUGUGUAAGCGCAGCGAUGCGUUGAGCUAACCGGUACUAAUGAACCGUGAGGCUUAACCUU
rnacentral:rRNA from 1 species